CCUACGGGAGUCCGCAGUAGGGAAUUUUCGUCAAUGGGCGCAAGCCUGAACGAGCAAUGCCGCGUGAACGAGGAAGGUCUUCGGAUCGUAAAGUUCUGUUGAAGGGGAAAAAGAGCGGAGAGAGGAAAUGCUUUCUGAUUGAUAUUACCCUUCGAGGAAGUCACGGCUAACUACGUGCACGCAGCCGCGGUAAUACGUAGGGGGCGAGCGUUAUCCGGCAUGAUUGGGCGUAAGGGCUGCGUAGGCGGCCUGCUAAGUCUGGAGUGAAAGGUACGGGCUCAACCGGUACAGGCUCUGGAAACUGGCGGGCUAGAGAGCAGGAGAGGUCGGUGGAACGCCAUGUGUAGCGGUAAAAUGCGUAGAUAUAUGGAAGAACACCAGUGGCGAAGGCGGCCGCCUGGCCUGUUAACU
rnacentral:rRNA from 1 species